CAAGCCGUGGAGCAUGUGGUUCAAUUCGACGCAACGCGAAGAACCUUACCUGGGCUCGAACGGGUAGUCAACGGCGGUGGAAACAUCGCUACCCCGCAAGGGGGUCUAUUCGAGGUGCUGCAUGGCUGUCGUCAGCUCGUGUCGUGAGAUGUUGGGUUAAGUCCCGCAACGAGCGCAACCCUUGUCCUGUGUUGCCAUCAUUCGGUUGGGAACUCGCAGGAGACCGCCAGCGAUAAGCUGGAGGAAGGUGGGGAUGACGUCAAGUCCUCAUGGCCUUUAUGUCCAGGGCUACACACGUGCUACAAUGGCCGGUACAAAGCGCAGCAAACCCGCGAGGGGGAGCCAAUCGCAAAAAACCGGUCUCAGUUCGGAUUGCAGGCUGCAACUCGCCUGCAUGAAGCUGGAAUCGCUAGUAAUGGCAGAUCAGCACGCUGCCGUGAAUACGUUCCCGGGCCUUGUACACACC
rnacentral:rRNA from 1 species